UAGCUUUCUGUUUUCCAACUCCUUUACUGCC
rnacentral:piRNA from 1 species